rnacentral:rRNA from 1 species
UACGUAGGGGGCUAGCGUUGUCCGGAAUCAUUGGGCGUAAAGAGCGUGUAGGCGGUCCGGUAAGUCCGCUGUGAAAGUCGGGGGCUCAACCCUCGAAUGCCGGUGGAUACUGUCGGGCUAGAGUGCGGAAGAGGCGAGUGGAAUUCCUGGUGUAGCGGUGAAAUGACGCAGAUAUCAGGAGGAACACCUAUUGCGAAGGCAGCUCGCUGGGACGUUACUGACGCUGAGACGCGAAAGCGUGGGGAGCAAACAGG